AGUGAACGCUGGCGGUAGGCCUAACACAUGCAAGUCGAACGGCAGCACAGUAAGAGCUUGCUCUUACGGGUGGCGAGUGGCGGACGGGUGAGGCAUACAUCGGAAUCUACUUUUUCGUGGGGGAUAACGUAGGGAAACUUACGCUAAUACCGCAUACGACCUACGGGUGAAAGCAGGGGAUCUUCGGACCUUGCGCGAUUGAAUGAGCCGAUGUCGGAUUAGCUAGUUGGCGGGGUAAAGGCACACCAAGGCGACGAUACGUAGCUGGUCUGAGAGGAUGAUCAGCCACACUGGAACUGAGACACGGUCCAGACUCCUACGGGAGGCAGCAGUGGGGAAUAUUGGACAAUGGGCGCAAGCCUGACGCAGCCAUGCCGCGUGGGUGAUGAAGGUCUUCGGGUUGUAAAGCCCUUUUGUUGGGAAAGAAAAGCAGCAGGUUAAUACCCGGCUGUUCUGACGGUACCCAAAGAGUAAGCACCGGCUAACUUCGUG
rnacentral:rRNA from 1 species